CGUGAGAUGUUGGGUUAAGUCCCGCAACGAGCGCAACCCUUGCCAUUAGUUGCUACGAAAGGGCACUCUAAUGGGACUGCCGGUGACAAACCGGAGGAAGGUGGGGAUGACGUCAGGUCAUCAUGGCCCUUAUGGGUAGGGCUACACACGUCAUACAAUGGCCGGUACAGAGGGCUGCCAACCCGCGAGGGGGAGCAAUCCCAGAAAACCGGUCGUAGUCCGGAUCGUAGUCUGCAACUCGACUGCG
rnacentral:rRNA from 1 species